GCCCUGCCAUGGGCAGAGACAUCUUCUACUACACCAGGUUGCUCCAUGGCCCACCCAGCCUGGCCUUGAACAUUUCUAGGCUCCACUGUGCCUGUUCGGAUUUCCAGGUGUCAUUUAAGAAUGUGAAGUGCUCGUGAAACAGGAGGCAGAACAGCUAAAAUGCUUCUGAAACAGAUGACCCCAUCUCCUCUGCACAUCAGAGCUGGCCAGUGGAUUGACCUGGAUGUGUAUUCACCUGUUUUCUGAGGGUAGCGGGACCGUUCUUUUAUUGGGAUUUGUUGUUUUCUUUGAAUAUAAUUCUGAUUGAAAUCUGAGUAAAAUGCAUUAAAAAUAAUGAAUGCAUGUUGCCAAAAA